UACGAACUGCCCAAACGUUAUUCGGAAUCACUGGGCUUAAAGGGUGCGUAGGCGGCCUUUCAAGUCGGGUGUGAAAUCUCUCGGCCUAACCGAGAAAUUGCGCCCGAAACUGAUCGGCUUGAGUAUCAUAGGGGUGAGCGGAACUGCUGGUGGAGCGGUGAAAUGUGUUGAGAUCAGCAGGAACGCCGAUGGCGAAAGCAGCUCACUGGGUGAUAACUGACGCUCAGGCACGAAAGCCAGGGUAGCGAACGGG
rnacentral:rRNA from 1 species